CACGUAGGGGGCAAGCGUUGUCCGGAUUCAUUGGGCGUAAAGAGCUCGUAGGCGGUUCGAUAAGUCGGGUGUGAAACCUCCAGGCUCAACCUGGAGACGCCACCCGAUACUGUCGUGACUAGAGUCCAGUAGGGGGAGCGUGGAAUUCCUGGUGUAGCGGUGAAAUGCGCAGAUAUCAGGAGGAACACCAGCGGCGAAGGCGGCGCUCUGGGCUGGAACUGACGCUGAGGAGCGAAAGCGUGGGGAGCGAACAGG
rnacentral:rRNA from 1 species